AGAGUUUGAUCCUGGCUCAGGAUGAACGCUGGCGGCGUGCUUAACACAUGCAAGUCGAACGAAGCACCUUGAUUUGAUCCUUCGGAUGAAGAUCUUGGUGACUGAGUGGCGGACGGGUGAGUAACGCGUGGGUAACCUGCCUCAUACAGGGGGAUAACAGUUAGAAAUGACUGCUAAUACCGCAUAAGACCACAGCACCGCAUGGUGCAGGGGUAAAAACUCCGGUGGUAUGAGAUGGACCCGCGUCUGAUUAGGUAGUUGGUGGGGUAACGGCCUACCAAGCCGACGAUCAGUAGCCGACCUGAGAGGGUGACCGGCCACAUUGGGACUGAGACACGGCCCAAACUCCUACGGGAGGCAGCAGUGGGGAAUAUUGCACAAUGGGGGAAACCCUGAUGCAGCGACGCCGCGUGAGCGAUGAAGUAUUUCGGUAUGUAAAGCUCUAUCAGCAGGGAAGAAAAUGACGGUACCUGACUAAGAAGCACCGGCUAAAUACGUGCCAGCAGCCGCGGUAAUACGUAUGGUGCAAGCGUUAUCCGGAUUUACUGGGUGUAAAGGGAGCGUAGACGGAGUGGCAAGUCUGAUGUGAAAACCCAGGGCUUAACUCUGGGACUGCUUUUGAAACUGUCAGACUGGAGUGCAGGAGAGGUAAGCGGAAUUCCUAGUGUAGCGGUGAAAUGCGUAGAUAUUAGGAGGAACAUCAGUGGCGAAGGCGGCUUACUGGACUGAAACUGACACUGAGGCACGAAAGCGUGGGGAGCAAACAGGAUUAGAUACCCUGGUAGUCCACGCCGUAAACGAUGA
rnacentral:rRNA from 1 species